AUCCAGACUCCUACGGGAGGCAGCAGUGGGGAAUAUUGCACAAUGGGGGAAACCCUGAUGCAGCGACGCCGCGUGAAGGACGAAGUAUUUCGGUACGUAAACUUCUAUCAGCAGGGAAGAAAAUGACGGUACCUGACCAAGAAGCCCCGGCUAACUACGUGCCAGCAGCCGCGGUAAUACGUAGGGGGCAAGCGUUAUCCGGAUUUACUGGGUGUAAAGGGAGCGUAGACGGCCGUGCAAGUCUGAUGUGAAAACCCGGGGCUCAACCCCGGGACUGCAUUGGAAACUGCAUGGCUGGAGUGUCGGAGAGGCAAGUGGAAUUCCUAGUGUAGCGGUAAAAUGCGUAGAUAUUAGGAGGAACACCAGUGGCGAAGGCGGCUUACUGGACAGUAACUGACGUUGAGGCUCGAAAGCGUGGGGAGCAAACAGGAUUAGAUACCCCCGUA
rnacentral:rRNA from 1 species